AACGCACGAGACCUGCGGACCUGCGGAGGGAUCAUUACCGAGUUAGGGUCUUCUCAGGCCCGAUCUCCCAACCCUUUGUCGAACAUACCACUUGUUGCUUCGGCGGGCCCGUCCCCUCUCGGGGGGACCGCCGGGGGGCGGUCAAACGCCCUCUGGUCCGCGCUCGUCGACAGCCCCAACCUAUUAAACUCUGAACAAAGCGUGUCACGAUCUGAGUAUCUAUUAAAAAAUAAAGCACAA
rnacentral:misc_RNA from 1 species